GACGAACGCUGGCGGCGUGCUUAACACAUGCAAGUCGAGCGGAAAGGCCCUUCGGGGUACUCGAGCGUCGAACGGGUGAGUAACACGUGAGUAAUCUGCCCUUGGCUUUGGGAUAACUACCGGAAACGGUGGCUAAUACCGGAUACGACAACCGUCUUCAUGGGCUGGUUGUGGAAAGUUUUUUCGGCCAGGGAUGUGCUCGAGGCCUAUCAGCUUGUUGGUGGGGUAAUGGCCUACCAAGGCUUCGACGGGUAGCCGGCCUGAGAGGGUGACCGGCCACACUGAGACUGAGACAAGGCACAGACGCCUACGGGAGGCAGCAGUGGGGAAUAUAGGACAAUGGGCGGAAGCCUGAUCCAGCAACGCCGCGUGAGGGAUGACGGCCUUCGGGUUGUAAACCUCUUUGAGGACCGACGAAGCGCCGAUGAUGGUGGUGACGGUAGGUACAGAAGAAGCACCGGCCAACUACGUG
rnacentral:rRNA from 1 species